UUCCUUCAGCAAUGUGGUACUUCCAUGUUCCUUUGACAUGUAAAAACAUAGUACGCAUGAGCAACAAGUACUGUCUGCUUAAGUUGCGGAAUUUUUACGGUUGAUGCAAUAGGAGUGACAUAACAAAGAACUUGUACCAGAGGUUGUUGGAGGAUUCUCUCUUCCAUGGUCAUGUGUUCCGGUCAGACUUAUUUCGCUUUCCCAUUAUCUAGUGAUGCAAAACACUUUAUGAAAGGCACUUGUAAUAGCGUUUUUACAUUUAUUUGUUCCUCUUUGCAUAUUGAAUUCUUAUUUUUGGACGAUACUCUUUCGCA